GAUGUGGAUGUGUUGUUAGUGGGAGAGGAGACGGCGAAGAAUGGGAGUAUUCUCGUUCUCAUUCUACCUUUGCUUUGCCGGAUACCCUACUCAUGGCAAGGUACCGCAAAACAGGGACAUACCGAUUAAACAGGAAACGCAACCCCCCUACAAGCCCUAAAAUUAGGAACAAAUGUCCUUCUUUCUCAUAACACUUUUACAAGGAUAUCUUACAUACCCUUUUAUCUUAUAACGGAAAUAACAAAAUGUGUUGCAUACCCUGAAGUCGUUAAAUUGAAUUGGAAAUACUUAAUAAAAAUUGGAAGGCAGGCAAUUAAAACUUCGCAUAUAUGUAUCUGGCGUGGGAGACGCUCAAUCAUGACUUGAAAGUGAGUAAACUGCAGCUUGCAACCAAUAUCCAAGUGCAAACUAGAUGUUCCCAGACUAUUUGGCUAACUGGGAGCAAACAGUUAACUGACGUGGUGGGAAUAGGAAUUGGAAUGGUGGGUGUAGGCAAAAGUGGCGGUGGAAGUUGGUGUGGAAGUGGCAGAUUAAGCGAGCGUGUUAACCGGUUCGAGAUCAACGCUUCCUACCGUUUUAGGAAACGGACCCUGAAAGAGAGAGGU